UUUAUCUUUUUUUUUAUUUAUUUUUUCCUUUUUCUUUUUUGUUGGGGUUUAUUUGGAAACUAUUUGUAAACGGUGAAAGUGGAAAAGCAGUCAGAUGAUACAUCAUCAGAUGAUUGUACAAGGAAGGCGGUAGAUUAUCGAAAAGAAAGGGUGGAAAAGAAUAUAUAGAAAUAAAGGAAAGGAAUUCUUUUGAUUGGACCAGGCAUCACUUUUUGUAUUCGGUGUGGAUAAAAGAUCUUCCUAUGUUAUACUAUUCAAUUCUCGACGGUGAAUCGAUUUGAUAGCCUAGAUAUUGUUAUUCAUGAUAUUGAUCCGAUUCGAUGUCAUUGAAAUGUAAGUCAUUGCAUUGAAUUUACAAGCGACAAAUUUAUCAUCUCUAUGGGAUUAAAUCCCGAGUUAUUGCGAAGUAAAAAAAACAAUGAAAUUAUGGAAGUAAAUAUUCUCGCAUUUAUUGCUACAGCGCUGUUCAUUGGGUUUUUUCUAAACGGAGCCUGGAUGUAAUAUCCUAAUUUUGGGCCUAGUCGGAAUAGUGGUUUCGAGACCACAAAUAUGAGAUAGAAAGAAUUUUUUUUAUAAUUGUUUUGAGGUCUAUGAUAUGAUAUGAUUGCAUGAUUGUGUGAAAAUUUCAUGAAGAAAUUCUAUGCAUAAAGUGCUUAAUUUGAAAUUAGGGACUAAAUUGAAUAAAUUGCAAAACUUGUGUUCUAGAAGCAUUUUGCAUAAAAUUGAAUUAGAUUAUUAAUUAGAGGUCCUUACAGAGCAAUUUGACCAAUUUGUAAGUCUAUGGACAAAAAUUGGACAUGGAUGGAAUUUUUGGAAAGUUUAGUAGUAAGGGCAUUUUGGUAAUUUGAAUAUUAAAUGAAAUUAUGUAGUAUAGGAAGUUGUAGAUAAAACGGAAUAAAAACGAGGUAUUGAGACCUCGAAUUCAUAAACCGAGCCACAAAUAUUUUUAGAAAUAUUUAUGGAGUGUAAAUAAGUUAGUAUUAAUGUUUUGUCAAGAAAUUUUAAGGUUUCGGUAAUUAAUUAGGUGAAAAGGACUAAAUUGAACUAAGUGCAAAAUUUGUGAGAUGUGAUUAAAUAGCUUAAGUAUUUAAAAAGAUGGAUUUAAAGAGCAAUUAGACCCAAAGGUUAAUGGCUGGACGGUUUGGGUAUGAAAUAAGCAAGAAAACAAUGUGAGCAAGGGGCAAAAUUGGAAAUAGCAUAAAAGUUAGUAAUUAAAUAAUGAUGUAAUUGAAAAAUCUAGACAUUUCUUCAUCUUCUCAGCCGGAAACGCCGUAGCAGGUCUACUAUGCUGGUUUUUCAUAUUUUUGCACCAUGUAAGUUCAAUUUUUACUUUUUCUUAGUAAUUUUUAUGUUUUUGUGACUUUUACAAUUAGGUCCAAUCAUCUAAUUCAUUAGUUUUUGAUUUGGUGGAUGAAAUUGGAAGUUCCCCUGGCUGAGUAAGGGUAUUUUAUGAUGAAUUAUUAUGAAAUUGAAGUUCUAAUUUCAUAUUAAGGUUGUUUUAUUAAGUCAUUUUGAUAGAAAAUGGUAUUUAGGACCUAAUUGUGAAAAAGUUGUCAAUUAGAUGUUGGUGUUGAAAUUGAGAAUAUCAAAGGUUGUGAAAUAAUUUAUAAUGAUAAAAUAAAGUGUUAAUUGAGAAAAAAUUAGUUCAAUUGAUGGGUGAAUUGAGUAGGGACUAAAUUGUAAAAACUGUAAAUUUUAGGGUAAAAGUGUAAUUUCGAAAUUUGAACAGCAUAAAUUGUGAAGUGAAGUAGAAAUCAAAUAAAUGCUAAUGAGUAGAAAUAAUUUAUAUUAUAGAUCAAGAGAAACGAGAUUCAAGUCGUGAUCGAGGGAAAAAUAAAGUUUACGAGGAAUAGGCUCGAUUGCUAAUAUUUUAUAUCGAGGUAAGUUCAUAUGAUUUUUAAUAAUGCAAUGUGUAAUUUAAUGUUUUGAAAUGAAAAUUUCAUGAAUGAUAUAGUAUAUUAUUGUAUAUAAAAUGUCAUUAAACUGUGAUAAUUGUAAAAUGAUAUUUGAAUAAAAGUACAAAUUAAAUGGAACAACGGACUUGAGUACUUUCAUUCAGUGGCUAAGACGAAUUGACGGAAAAGACCAUGGUUGGACCAUGGCAGCAUGUGAAGUGUGAUUUCCGUAUAAGACCAUAGCUGGGCUAUGGCUUCGGAGAAAUGUGAUUUGUGCUUCCGUAUAAGACCAUAUCUGGGAUAUGGCAUCGGUGUGAUAUGUGCUACUGUAUAAGACCAUAUCUGGGAUAUGGCAUCAGUGUGAUAUGUGAUCCGUAUAAGACCAUGGCUGGGCUAUGGCCUCGGUAUGUGAUAUGUGACUAUGUGCAAGACCAUAAUUUUACUAUGGCAUUGUGAUAAUGAGGUACUCAAUUCCGUAGUUGUUCCCUAAUUUGAUUAUGAACGAAAAUGUAAAAUGGCCCGAAAAGAUUAAGAAUUGGUGAAUACUAUGAAAAUGACACGAUUUGGAAUAAGUUCUUGAUACUUGAUGACAUUGAGAUUAUGGAUCUAUGCUUAUGAAGCAUAAUUAUGUGUUCUUACCAUGAUGGAUGAAAUGAUAUUGUAUGGAUUUAGUGAAUAAUAGUGGUGAAUGAAUAAAUAUGGCCUUGGCAGUUUUGGAUUACUGCAGUAGUGUAACUUUUGAAAUUCACCAUAAAUUGUGGAAAUUGAGUUAAGGGCUGAAUAAAAUAUGAGAUUAAAGCCUGAUGAGUCUAGUUUCAUAUAGAGGAAACGGUGCAUGCAAUUGGAUUUUAUGUUAUAAGAUAUUUAAAUUGUUGUGAGACAGAGUUUGAAUGACUUCGAGAUCUCCUGUUCUGAUUUUAGAAAAUCAUUAGAAAUUGUACAAUUGUGGUGUUUUAUCUUAAAAGCAUGUUGGUAAUUGCUUAUUAAUUUCAUAUGGACUUACUAAGCAUUUAUGCUUACUCCCUCCUUUUCAUUCCUUAUAGUUUUGACAAGCUAGCUCGGAAAUCGGGAACGGUCGGAGGCCCACUCACACUAUCCGUAUACCAUCUUGGCAUAAUGGCUUGUAUAUUUUGAGUAUGGCAUGUAUAGCAUUAUAAUCAUUUUGUAUAUAUGGUCUUAUGAUAUGGUUAUUGAGUGGUAUGGAAAUGCUUGGUAAUGAUUAGCCAUUGGAAUGGCUAAUCAUGAUCAUAUUUGGUGUUAUGUAUGUCAAAUUGCUAGCUAAUCCAUGGAAACCAUGAAAUAGGUAAAAUUUACCAUAAAAUAGAUUCAGACAGCAGUAGAGAUGAGAAUUCGAAAAAUCACUAAAAAUAGUAGAAAUGGAAUUAAAUAAUGAAUAAGUUAUGGAAUCGAAGCUUGAUGAGUCUAUUUUCAUAUGGAAGAAGAGAAACAGGUAUAUGAUCUAUAUUUUAUGAGAUGUUUAAAUUUUUGUGAAACAGGGCCAGAGCGAUUUCUGGAUCCCCUGUUCUGAAUUUGGAAAUUUACCAUAAAUUUUAAAAAGAUAAUUAGAAGUCAUGCUUUAUAUGUACAGAUUCCUUAUUGAGUCUAGUUUUAUUAGAAACAAACAGCAUAGUCAUUUAAGCUCUGUACAGGGAGAUAUCUGAUUCGUAAUACACAGAGGUCAGAGUAGUCGAACCCUGAAACAGGGGAGACUUUAACUAAUAAACUGUACUAAUUGGCCCAACCAAAAAUUCUAGAAAAAAAUUAGUAGAUAGAUAUAUGAGUCUAGUUUCAGGAAAAAUUUACGGAAUUCGAUUUCGAGUUUCGGAACUCGAGAUAUGAAUUUUUAAGCAACUAUGACGCAGUUGGACAGCUUGUCCGAAUUUGUUUAAGUGCUCAAAUAAGUUUAGUAAUGCCUCGUGCUCGACUCCGGCGACGGUCUCGGAUAAGGGGACGUUACACUUUAUCUUUUUUUUUAUUUAUUUUUUCCUUUUUCUUUUUUGUUGGGGUUUAUUUGGAAACUAUUUGUAAACGGUGAAAGUGGAAAAGCAGUCAGAUGAUACAUCAUCAGAUGAUUGUACAAGGAAGGCGGUAGAUUAUCGAAAAGAAAGGGUGGAAAAGAAUAUAUAGAAAUAAAGGAAAGGAAUUCUUUUGAUUGGACCAGGCAUCACUUUUUGUAUUCGGUGUGGAUAAAAGAUCUUCCUAUGUUAUACUAUUCAAUUCUCGACGGUGAAUCGAUUUGAUAGCCUAGAUAUUGUUAUUCAUGAUAUUGAUCCGAUUCGAUGUCAUUGAAAUGUAAGUCAUUGCAUUGAAUUUACAAGCGACAAAUUUAUCAUCUCUAUGGGAUUAAAUCCCGAGUUAUUGCGAAGUAAAAAAAACAAUGAAAUUAUGGAAGUAAAUAUUCUCGCAUUUAUUGCUACAGCGCUGUUCAUU
rnacentral:lncRNA from 1 species